rnacentral:rRNA from 1 species
AUGACACACAAGCAUUGUUUUGAGGCACUAGAUAAGAGUUUGAGAGACAUACUUCGAUUCACAUAUGAGGACGCAGAGCAUAGACCAUUUGGAGGAAUGACAGUAGUCUUGGGAGGUGACUUCAGGCAAAUCCUACUAGUUAUACCAAAGGGGAAAAGGGAACAUAUCAUUUCUGCAUCAAUAAAGAAAUCCUACCUAUGGAAGAACUUUGAGGAGUACCGACUCAAAGAAAAUAUGCGUCUGAAUUCAUCCGAAGGUAGUCCAGAAGAGAAAGCAAAAACAUCUGAAUUCGCAAACUGGAUACUAAACAUAGGCGAUGGCACAACGUCAACAAUAGAUGAAGAGGAUUGGGUUAGCAUCCCAGAGGACCUUAUUUUACAUGAAGGGGAUGACCCGAAAGCAUCUAUUGUUAACACCACCUAUCCUGACUUACACAGAAAAUACACUGAUAGAACAUACCUUGUGGAAAGAGCGAUCUUGUGCCCAGGAAACGAGACUGUUGACCAGAUUAAUGCCUACAUCAUGUGUUAA